rnacentral:misc_RNA from 1 species
AACGCACCUUGCACCCUCUGGUAUUCCGGAGGGUAUGCCUGUUUGAGUGUCAUUAAAUUCUCAACUUCAAAGAAAGCUGUUGUUUUCUUUUGAAGCUUGGUUGUGGAGGGUUUUGUUGGCGGCGUUUUGUUGUCAGCUCCUCUUAAAUGCAUUAGUGGAAUCCUCAACUCCUCCGUUGUGUUGGUCCACUUUGAUGUGAUAAUUAUCUACAUCUUAGUGGUUCAACUGUUUUUCUCAGUUCUUCUUUGAACUGGUUGAGAUAUUGCAAAUAAUAAAGCUUUAUCUGUUUAAUUGGAGUGAUUUGUGAAGUCUGCUUUCUAACUGUCUUUCGAGACUUUACUUUGACUAUUUGACCUCAAAUCAGGUAGGACUACCCGCUGAACUUAA